rnacentral:lncRNA from 1 species
UUUAUGUUACCUUGAGUAGCGUUAUUUCUUUCCGUUUAUUUUUUCUUUUUACUCAAGAUUAUCAAAAAGUAGAUUCGAAAAGAAAUUUGUGCAGAAAAUCGACCUCAGGUAAGAUGAUUUAAUUGAUUGUGGUUAUUGUAUAAAGAAUCUUUCAAGAAACGGGAGAUUAAAGUGAUAUCGUCAACGCCUUAAAUUUUCAGUUUGAAGUUGUUAAGACAUUAGAAUGAAAUUGUGAAACUCUGCUUUUCAGGAUAUCGUCAGCGCCUUAUUUCUCUAAUUGUUGAGUUAAUUAAUGUGUUUUCUCUCGCAGUGAAUCCUUCAUACAACAGAGUAACCAUGGAUCUCUUACCUAAAGGUCUUAACAAAGGGAUUGCAAUUAUAGGAAUUGUCUGGUGCUUAGUUAAGUGUGAGAAUAAAGAAAGUAGAUAUGAAAUCCAAGAAGUUGUUGGAAAGGGGAGCUAUGGUGUUGUUGCAUCAGCAGUUGAUACUCAUACAGGAAAGAAGGUAGCUAUAAAGAAGAUCAACAAUGUUCUUGAGCAUGUCUCUGAAGCCACCCGUAUUCUUAGAGAAUUUAAGCUCCCAAGGUUGCUUCGACACCCAGACAUUGUAGAAAUAAAGCAUAUACUAUUACUUCCAUGUCCGAGAGAAUUCAAGGAUACAUAUGUUGUUUUCGAGUUGAUGGAGUGUGAACUUCAGCAUGUCAUUAAGGCCAACGGCAGUCUCACGCCUGAACAUUAUCAAUUUUUCUUGUAUCAGCUUCUUCAAGGUUUAAAAUAUAUGCAUACAGGUGGCUGUCCCUCAUUUUUCUUUCUGGUAUUUUAGUUAGAUUUCUAUUUUACAUAUUUUGUGGCUUAUUUCUAAUUUAUUGAUUCAACAGGAAACGUGUUCCAUCAAGAUUUGAAGCCAAAGAAAAUUUUAGCAAAUGCAUAUUGCAAGCUGAAACUUUGUGAUUUUGGGCAGCAUUUGGCGAUACUCCAAUGGUUCAUCAGGUCUAUAAAUUGGUGAAAUGGAUCAAGCCACAACCUUUGUUCUACAAACUAAACAGUGAUGGUAGUUGUAUUGAGGAGGGUAUGUGUGGGGCUGGUGGAGUUAUAAGGGAUAGUAACGGGCAUAUGAUUCUAGUGUUUUCAGUGUUCCAAGGGCCUGGUACAAGUAAUUGGGCGAAGGAGCCAGCAACAUUGUAUGCUUGACUUCUUCUUUUGAGCUACUGACGGAUUUUUGGUUAGUAACACUUGCUAGAAUGUAACAGUAGGUGCGGAUGUAUGAAAAACAAUAGACAGUUUGGCUACCAAGACCUGGCCAUUUCAUCUGUAUGCGUUCUAGAUUAGUUUUAUAUGCUUCGACAGCUUCAUCGAAUACAAUGAAUGAGAAUAGUUUUAUAAUUGUUCUUUGUCAAUUGUCAUCUCUUUUUAUGUUACAGAAAUGCAAGUUAUUUACCUCCUAUUUGUGAUGACUUUCAUAGGGUUGGAAAAUCUCUUUCCAUUCUAAGUAGCGGAGACAAAACCAUAUACUGAUAGAAAAAGGGGAAAUUCAAAACAAAACAAAACAAAAAGGGGUUUAC